UAUCAUACACACACGCAUUGUCUGUAAGUAAUCCAUAUUUUUUUCAGUUAUGAGUUGUAAUUGUAAUACUGUUUAACAUUUAAACCAGGAGAGUAGGUGUGGAUAGUCAAAUUUACUUAAAAUCCUCCGAGCUAGCCGGAAGAGCAAGCUGGUACAUAAUAAACGUGAAGCGUCUCGGGAGUGCAUUGAAAAAAAAAUGGUAGACCAAAUAUUGGAAAACCAAACCGAUCCACCCCUUCCGCCAUCGUUUUCAUUUUCGACUGGUCGUCGUAAAAUAUUAUAUCAUAUCGGUGGUCAACUCGAGUUGGGUAUAAAUAUACCACUUAUACUGGACUACCACACGAGUGGGUAAUGGGUACUGCCGGUACUCUUUGAGAGCACUCAUUGUUCGUUUUAUCGACACAAGACCAACAAACGCAUAACCCUAUAAACCAAUAACCGAGCAACAAUCGAUAUCGGUCACCUGUAAUAUAAUACAAUAUUGUGCCACCGCCGUGGUAUUGAAAUCGAAUUUU